rnacentral:rRNA from 1 species
UACGUAGGUGGCGAGCGUUGUCCGGAUUUACUGGGCGUAAAGAGCGCGCAGGCGGUCGUACAAGUCGCGUGUGAAAGCCCCCGGCUCAACUGGGGAGGGUCACGCGAUACUGUUCGACUCGAAGGCAGGAGAGGGUAGUGGAAUUCCCGGUGUAGUGGUGAAAUGCGUAGAUAUCGGGAGGAACACCAGUGGCGAAGGCGCCACUCUGGGCCGGUACUGACGCUGAGGAGCGAAAGCGUGGGGAGCAAACAGG